CCGCGUCACGUGACGAGGAACUAGCAGUACCCUUACCUCCGGAAAUGUCUAAUUCUGGCAGGAUCCUGGUAACUUGGGUAACUAGCGGUUAGGAUGAGAGGCUUGGAAUCAUCUCGUUUUGCGCCAAGACUCUUUAGUCUCGGGUGGUCUCCUGUGAUGGGGAAAUGGUGAGACGUGGAGAUUUACUCCUGAGAGCGCGAGCGCGCGUGUCUAUCGCUUUUGUACUCACCUCUCCCUUUAAAAAUUGUUAUUCUGAUUCAGCCAAGGGAGAUAGGAGCCCUGUCCGGAGGCCAAAAAGCAUGCUGUUGUGGCUAGAAGGCUUUACAAUUGCUGAGGGUUGUUGGCAUUAGAGAUGGUUCUCUUAAAUAACAAAGCUUGGAAUACUGUAUGGUUUUAAUCAUCUCACUUGGAAUACUGUAUACUUCUGGAUACUGAAGCCAGGAAAAACGGGUUAGAAAAAUUCCAGGGAAAGCAGAUUCGAUGAGCAAGUUGUGAAGGGUCCCCUUCUCACCAUGUCUGGCUGGCGGCGACCCAGAUGCCAUGUGAUGGUCAUUUGAAGACAGGACUGCCGGAUAUCAGGUUUCAUCCAAUUUUGGUAUGUAUCUGAAUUGUUGAUGCUGGACAGAGGAACAACACAAGUGAUCACUAUGGUGUUAAGAUAUCAAAGCUGCUUACAUUAGUGUGAAACCUUUCAGAAGGUUCAUGAGAGAUGCUGAAUGUCAUGGAAGGCCCAAAGUCCACAUGAGGAGAGAAGAUGCCUGAGGACAAAUAACCCCAAAUAAUAAUAAUUGCAAGAACUAAUGUUUUUUUGGUAGCAUGUAGUAUAUGUCACAUGAUUGUCUUAUGCCAUUUUAUCCUUUAACAACCCCACUAUGGACAUGCUGUUUUUUUCUCAUUUAAAGGUAUAGACAUUUGGUAAGUAUUGAGGCCAGGAUUCAGAAUUGAGACCCUGUCCAUCAAAAGGUGGGCCAUUUUGAUGAUUGCAGGCUUCACUCUCCUAUGUAUCCUAUAACAACUCAGCUAUUUACUAUGGGAAGAAAUUUUUUAAAACUAGAUUAUAAGUUUUAUUGAAGCAGAAAUUGUUAAUGGUGAGUGAUGACAGUGUAGGACUGAGCUAGAGAGGGGAAUUAUAAGUGUGAAUUGAGGUUUCACCUAAUCAUGUUGAGCAGCUGAUGAUGCAGAAGGCAUCAUGUGAGAGAUAAAUUCCAAGAUCCUUUUAAACACACUGGUCUCCAUUUUGUCUGUGUUACUGAAGAGGUGACCUCUAGGGAUCACAGCUGUAUUGGCCAAGUUUGGGGGUCCAGAUGGAGGUCCUCCACUAAAACUGUUCAGUUAUUCUCCAUACCAGGUGCUUACUUAUUUUGCCAAUACUGCAAACUCCUUGUUGCUAAAACCAGACACCUCAUUUUUGCCCUUAACUUAGCUUCUUCUAACUUUACUAUUUCUGACAAUUACUUUGGUUCAAAGCUUCUGUCAUUUUUGUGCUCUUCUCUGCCAUGUUCCCUAUCUUAAAAUGUCAUUGAGAUUUUUAGAACAUUUUCAAAGCAGGCAUAAGUCUUGCUUAGGUGUCUUCUGCCUAGCAAUAAAUACUACACUGUUUCAUAAAGUUAUAGUAUCCCUACAUCAGUACAACACACGGCACCCACCCUGUGGGUUCCUGUGAGUCAUAGAAGCUUGGACUUUUGACUUUUCUCUCUCCAGUCUUGCACCCAGACAUGCUGUAACUUUUCUGUUUCCUUUCUUUACCAUGCCUUUUAUUUUUCAUUUUCAUUCCUGUAUCACUACCCAACUAAUGCACAUUUUUACCUGCCUUAUUCUUGGGCAGAUCUAAUUAGUCUGCUGGGCUUGUCUCCUUCCAUUCUGAUCUGUUCCUACUUAGCUGACUACCCUUUUGGUGUGGAACAUUCUCCAUUAGUUCUACACCAUUUAUAGAUUGUCUCUUGUGAUUUCUAACUGUAGUUCCAGAUAUUGUUCUCUGGUUGGUUCUUGGGGUACCAUUUUUCUUCCUGGUGUAAUAUUAAAUCUCCUAAGUUAGGAAUAAAGCGUUGUAUUACUCCAAGUUACAAAUAAGUCUUUUCUUUUACUAACAAUAUAUCAGUUAUAACUCAAGCCCAUUGCUAGGCUUUUAGAUCUUUGACAGUUUCAUAGGGCUCCCUUGUAAUGUGUCUGAAGAGGAGAUAGGAUAAGAGUAGAGCCUGUACCUUGAAAACAGGGUGCAGUCCUGGUAGGCACCUCAUGGUGGCAACAGCGAUGACCUCAGCCACCAAAUGAGUGUUCAGCAAAUGAUAUUGGAGCUGGUGCAGUUGGAAAUCUGAAUUUCGAACCCAGGACUUGGCCAGGAGCCAGGCAAGUGGAGGAUCUGAUGGCAGGAACAGUGUUGGAGUUGGGAAGCUGGGAUUGGGAGGUUGAAUCUGGGAGAAAGAAACAUCAGAUAUUUAUUGAACUCUCAUCCUGUGUAUGACAUGGUUAGCAUUUCUGAGGAAGAAGAUGACUAAGCAAGACUGUUGCCUUCUAGAGGGUUAUAAUGUAGUAGGAGGAAAAAGAAAUAUUCCUUUCCUUAUUGGCUAUGGUGACUUGAUGGUCAUGCUGACUGCAGGAGAGACUGGAAGCAGGGAAUCCAGUAAGGAGGUCCUAGCAGUACUUUGGGAGAAAUAGGAUAGGAGUCAGGUGGCAGAGAGGGAAGUAGAAGCUGUAUGUGUACAAUUAUUGACAAUAAUAAUUGACUGUUUGAUGGGAAUGGUGAGAAAAAAGGUUAUCUAAGAGACAAUGGAUAUUCAGAAUCAGAGGAUGCUUAGAGAUUAAAUAACAGUUCAAAAAGUGUGCUCCUGAGAUGCAGCAUCAGCAUUACUUUGGAACUUGUAAGAAAUGAAUUUUCUCUGUGGCCACCCCCAGACACACUAAAUCAGAAAGUCUAGUGGUGGCAUUGAAGACCCUGCAUUUUAACAAAGACUUGAUGUGAUUUGGAAGCAUAGUAAUGUUUGAGAACUGCUGGGUAUAGGAUGAGGAUUCAAAGAGGCCAUUAUGAUUCUUGAAUAAGUGCUUCCAUUAGGUGAAUCAGGGGAGACCAGGCUGUGAGCUGUGACUUGAAGAUAGGUCUUGGUGUGGAUGGGAUUUGGGAGGCAAGAGUCAAGGGAUUGGGUCCUUAGGAACAGGUUGAUGUGAACAGAGAAGUGGGAAUGAGAUGCUUAGGGCCUCACCUGGAUGACCAUGGGUAACAGCUUCCCAUUGGGUUCCAUCUUCAACAUGACAAGAGGGGCAGCAAGGUACUGUUUCUCUCCUCGAAUCACAUUGGCUGGAAUUCCAUCCAGCAGGAUAAAAUCAGCCUCAAACAGGGAACCAUUCUAAAGAAAGGAGGAAUGUAUCCAUUUGUAGAGUUCAAAAUCUAUCCAUAAAGCAAAUCAGUCUAACAAAAGAGGUGAAAGACCUCUACAAUUAAAACUACAAAACACUAAAGAAAGAAAUUGAAGAAGACCUUAGAAGAUGGAAAGAUCUCCAAUGUUCUUGGAU